UCUCCUUUAAUAUAAAAAGUAUGUCUGCCUUCCAAGUAGAUCGUCUAGCCAUAGAGGGAGAA
rnacentral:tRNA from 1 species